UGGAAAAACAAAAAGAUCUGUUAGAUUUUAAUAUUUAAAACUGAUUGCAUUAUUCUAACAUGCAGGUUUAUUAGUGCUUUGGAUUGUUUAAAAGAGCUGUGUGUGUGUGUGUAUGUGUGUGUGUGUUACUUUGCACCACCUUGUAUAUCUGUAUGGAGCACUGUGUGAGGAUGGUGCUAACAGUAGACGACAGGCCCAGCUCCAC